UACGUAGGGGGCGAGCGUUGUCCGGAUUUAUUGGGCGUAAAAGGCUUGUAGGUGGCCACGCCAAGUCGGAUGUGAAAUCUCCCGGCUUAACCGGGAGGGGUCAUUCGAUACUGGCGGGCUCGAGGCAGGUAGGGGGAAGCGGAAUUCCCGGUGUAGUGGUGGAAUGCGUAGAUAUCGGGAGGAACACCAGUGGCGAAGGCGGCUUCCUGGACCUGUUCUGACACUGAGGAGCGAAAGCGUGGGGAGCGAUCCGG
rnacentral:rRNA from 1 species